rnacentral:rRNA from 1 species
CCUACGGGCGACAGCAGUGAGGAAUAUUGGUCAAUGGUCGGGAGACUGAACCAGCCAAGCCGCGUGAGGGAGGAAGGUACAGAGUAUCGUAAACCUCUUUUGUCAGGGAACAAAGGCGGGGACGUGUCCCCGGAUGAGUGUACCUGAAGAAAAAGCAUCGGCUAACUCCGUGCCAGCAGCCGCGGUAAUACGGAGGAUGCGAGCGUUAUCCGGAUUUAUUGGGUUUAAAGGGUGCGUAGGCGGUCUGUUAAGUCAGUGGUAAAAGCCCGGGGCUCAACCCCGGCCCGCCGUUGAAACUGGCAGUCUCGAGUUGGAGAGAGGUAUGCGGAAUGCGCGGUGUAGCGGUGAAAUGCAUAGAUAUCGCGCAGAACUCCGAUUGCGAAGGCAGCAUGCCGGCUCCACACUGACGCUGAGGCACGAAAGCGUGGGUAUCGAACAGGAUUAGAUACCCCAGUAGUC